rnacentral:lncRNA from 10 species
GCAGCCCUGUGGUCACCCUGUGAAGGGAAGGGCGGUGGACCCUGCCGGAUCUUGCGAAGUUGCCAAGGGGUCAAUGCCCAGGCGCGAGUAAUUACUGCAUUAAUCCCAGACCCCAUCCCGAUUCUUGUCGGGGACUGAAGGGUCUCCGCCUGGGGCUCCGAAGUCGAUCAUUUCACAUUCACGCUUCCCAAAACGAGACACAAUAAAUUCCGCUCUGGCCUGGAGCCUUGAAUUCCCGUUACGGUCCCGCCCCGCCGAGGCCCGUCGCCUUGUUUCUCUGAGUCAGUUUCCCCAACGGUGAAAGGGAGGACGCUGACACCUGCCUGCCCCUCCCUAUCUGCCGAGGCCGUGGAGAUCAGCAGCAGCGAAAGCGCUCUGGGCUUAGAAGAGGAAAAGGGCUGCGUGAGCCCAAGAGCUUGCAUCGGAAGGCUCCAGGAAGAGCAUCUGCAAAAAAGAGGAUUCCACGGGAUGACCCCCGACAACUCUUGGAAUUCUAAAAUCCUAUACCCUUGCCCGCACCCAUUCGUGUAGUGAAGGGGCGCGCGUUAGGCGCAGAGGCCACACGCUCCGCAAGUGAACCCGGGCACCUCUCUGAACCUAUUCCGGGCUGAGGGCGGGGAGCGGGUGGCUGCCCGAUUUAAAAACAUGUAUAUGUAUGUGUAUGUGUAUGUGUAUGUGUAUGUGUAUGUGUAUGUGUAUAUGUAUAUGUAUAUGUAUAUGUAUAUGUAUAUGUAUAUGUAUUAUGAGUGAAGUCCAUGACUGCAACAGGGAGAAAGGAGAAAGGCGAAAGGGGAGAGAGCAACAAGGUAAGCCAGGCCCACUGUGAUGACAGCUGCGGUCAUGCAGGCCCUUCGUAUCCGCCUUCCUCCCCAGCAAUGGGAGAGAGCCCAGAAAAGGAGAAAUAACCCCAACUCGAUGGGGUGGAAAAGGGGGAAGCGCUUUCCGGAAGGCUUCCGGGAUGGGGUCACCAGAGUCAGAGGAAGGAGUAACAGUAGAUAGAAGAAGAAGUGGUCAGGGGCGUUCUUCUAGGUUUGGGGCGGACCCGCGUGAAGAUGCAAAGACUGAAAAGGGGCGGCUCACUUUACAUUCCAAGGUAAAUUCUCACUAUGACCCCCUUUUCCCCAUCAAAGGCUUCUGGGACUGCCCAUGGGUGAACUCAGAGGGAGGGUAGGAGAGGGUGCUGCUCUAUCCAAUGGCGGCAAAAGUCAAAGUGGCCUUGGGUAUUCCCAAUUACUCACUAUAAAUCAGCUUCCAAUGCCGGUCGCAGAAUCUUGGAGUUAGACGGGAUCCUCGUGGGCUCUUAGUCACACACACCUUCCCCAAGGCAAAAAUUCUUGCACAAAAUACCUGAUAAAAUUAUUUAUUCGAUAAAUAUUUUUUGAGUAAGAACACUGAGGGGGUAAGCUAGAUGAGAUACAGUCACUACCCUGGGGGUGCUUACACCAAACUGGAGGAUGCUAAGGCACGUACUGCGGUGACUGCAAUGCCAGGCCGGUAUCCCAGGUGACUAAAACAGGAUGCAGGCCGGGUGCGGUGGCUCA